CCCACUGACACACAGAUAAUUAACAAAUAUUUAUUGUUUGUUUCAUCCAAGAUGCUCUUAUAGACACUGUGCAUAUGUAGAAAGAUAGCAUUUAGUGAGCAACAUAGCAUAUAUAGUUCCUGCUUUUAGGAUCUUAGACUUCAUUUAGGGAGAAAGGGCUAAUACUUAUGAAACAGGUACAUAAUAAAAUACAAGAGGUACACAGCCAAGUGCUAGCGUAGGUGUUACUGAUUAUGAAAAGGGAGAGAGGUCCUUAGUCUGGGAACAUUCAAGGAAGACUUUUCAGAAGAUAUGGGAUUUGAUCUAGGCUUCAAAAACCUAUUAAGGUUUUAAUAGGCAAAGGAACCAGAGAAAAGUAUUUCCAGGUAGAGAAACAGCAUAAGAAGUAUAGGAGCAAGAAACAUAGAGGUUAGGAUGACAAUGAGAUAAUCAGUAUAAAUGGAAUAGAGAGCACUCUGGGAGGGAUAAAGUGAAAGUUGCUCCGUCAUGUCUGACUCUUUGCAACUCUGUGGACUAUACAGUCCAUGGAAUUCUCCAGGCCAGAAUACUGGAGUGGGUAGCCUUUCCCUUCUCCAGGGGAUCUUCCCAACCCAGGGAUCAAACCCAGGUCUUCCACAUUGCAGGCAGAUUCUUUUUACCAGCUGAGCCACAAGGGAAGCCCAUGGGAAAGCUCAGCCCAAACUCCCCUGCUUAGUAUUCAAACCCAACACUAUCUGUCUUUGUGUAAUCAAGUUACAAUCCAAUGACUUUUCUUCUUUCCAAAGGACAAGCUAGAGGAUCAUUAUCCUGAUAAAAUCUAAUGUCUUGGUGGUGUCACCUUCCUCCACACCCAACUGGGACCAAAACCAAUUGCAUUUCAAAAAUUAAGAGAAACCACCCUGAAGGAUUGAUCUGCAAGUCCAGUCAAGUUACUGAGUUCCUUGAAAGAAGAUCUCCUGAUCCAGUGGAUGAACAGAAAGCUUUCCACAUGAGCUAUGGAUUUCAAGUCAUCACUUGUUCUUGGUCAAUAUACCUUAUUCUGCUGCUAAGUGCUGCUUAGUCGCUUUAGUCGUGUCCAACUCUGUGCGACCCCAUAGAUGGCAGUCCACCAGGCUCCGCCAUCCCUGGGAUCCUCCAGGCAAGAACACUGGAGUGGGUUGCCAUUUCCUUCUCCAAUGCAUGAAAGUGAAAAGUGAAAGUGAAGUCACUCAGUCGUGUCCGACUCUCAGCGACCCCAUGGACUGCAGCCCACCAGGCUCCUCCAUCCAUGAGAUAUUCCAGGCAAGCGUACUGAAGUGGGAUGCCAUUGCCUUCUCCGAUGCCUUAUUCCAAAGGUCUUUUAUUUCAUGGCUUAUUUACAGUGUUUCAGAAACAAUCAUUCCAAAGCAUGAAUGCUUAGUAUGAUUUUUUUUCCUUUACCUUCACUGUGCUCAGUCAUGUCCAACUCUUUGUGACCCCACGGACUGUAGCCCACUAGGCUCCUCUGUCCAUGGGAUUCUCCAGGCACGAAUACUGUAGUGGGUUGCCAUUUCCUUCUCCAGGAGAUCUUCCCCACUCAGGAAUCGAACUGGGGUCUCCUGCGUUUGCAGGUGGAUUCUUUACCAGCUGAGUUACCAGGGAAGUCCCUAUUCUAGAGGUUGAUAGCACACUAUUCUUCACAAAGCUGGUGUUCACUGACAUUGCUGGCAGAAUGUAGCUGUUUCCUUUUUCUUUUUCUUCUACACAUGGCUCAAUCUAAUGAGCCCAUGCUCACAUCCUUGGUCUCCUCCAUAGCACUCAACCUCCUGAACAAACUUGACCCCUUUGUCUGCUUAGAUACAUGGUAAUGACAAGAUUUUUUGGCCUAGAUGAACAUUUGGGUCUUGUCUGCCAACUCCCAUGGUUAUUUUCUUAUGUGAAAAUAGGAGAAGCUAGAUUAACAUAACCCAAUACUUCUUUAUCCUAUGAAAAAAACCCUCUUAUUAAAAUAACAGCAUCAAUUAUUAACUCUAAAUAUUCUUUUUAAGAAAAAAUAUAAAAUAAUUUUUAAAAACAUAAAUUCUGACAUAUGCCUAGUUCCCUUUCUCAGAAUAAAGUUCAAAUAAUCUAUCCCA
rnacentral:lncRNA from 1 species